UUCUAUUAGAUAUAAUUAAUAGUAUAAUCUGCUCAAUGAAAUUAAAUAGCCGCAAUUCUGUGCUAAGGUAGCAUAAUCAUUUGUCUUUUAAUUGAAGACUAGAACAAAAGAUUGAACAUUUUAAUUUAUUUAUUUUUUAAAAUAAUAAAAAUUAUUUUAAAUGUAAAAAAACAUUUAUUAAAAAGAAAGACGACAAGACCCUAUUGAACUUAACUUAAGUUAAACUGGGGCAGUUAAUUAAUUAAUAUUUUAAAUAAAAUAAUUUAAAAAAAUGACCUAAUACAAUUAAUUUUAUGAAAAAGUUACCAUAGGGAUAACAGCGUAAUAAUAAUUUAAAGCUCUUAUUAAAAUAAAUUUUUGCGACCUCGAUGUUGAAUUAAUUACCUAAUAAAUAACGCAAUAGUUAAUAAAGGAAGUCUGUUCGACUUUUAAAAAAUUACGUGAUCUGAGUUCA
rnacentral:rRNA from 1 species